GUGACUGCGGAAGGAUCAUUACCGAGUGCGGGCCCCUCGGGGCCCAACCUCCCACCCGUGUUGCCCGAACCUAUGUUGCCUCGGCGGGCCCCGCGCCCGCCGACGGCCCCCCUGAACGCUGUCUGAAGUUGCAGUCUGAGACCUAUAACGAAAUUAGUUAAAACUUUCAACAACGGAUCUCUUGGUUCCGGCAUCGAUGAAGAACGCAGCGAAAUGCGAUAACUAAUGUGAAUUGCAGAAUUCAGUGAAUCAUCGAGUCUUUGAACGCACAUUGCGCCCUCUGGUAUUCCGGAGGGCAUGCCUGUCCGAGCGUCAUUGCUGCCCUCAAGCCCGGCUUGUGUGUUGGGCCCCGUCCCCCCCGCCGGGGGGACGGGCCCGAAAGGCAGCGGCGGCACCGCGUCCGGUCCUCGAGCGUAUGGGGCUUCGUCACCCGCUCUAGUAGGCCCGGCCGGCGCCAGCCGACCCCCAACCUUUAAUUAUCUCAGGUUGACCUCGGAUCAGGUAGGGAUACCCGCUGAACUUAAGCAUAUCAAUA
rnacentral:rRNA from 1 species